rnacentral:tRNA from 1 species
GGCAACAUGGCCGAGUGGUUAAGGCGCUAGAUCCAGGCUACGUAAUUACGAAAACGUGACUUUCUAGUUCGAAAGAGCGUGGGUUCGAGUCCCACUGUUGUCA